rnacentral:rRNA from 1 species
GACCUACGGGGGGCAGCAGUAGGGAAUUUUCGUCAAUGGGCGCAAGCCUGAACGAGCAAUGCCGCGUGAACGAGGAAGGUCUUCGGAUCGUAAAGUUCUGUUGAAGGGGAAAAAGAGCGGAGAGAGGAAAUGCUUUCUGAUUGAUAUUACCCUUCGAGGAAGUCACGGCUAACUACGUGCCAGCAGCCGCGGUAAUACGUAGGUGGCGAGCGUUAUCCGGAAUGAUUGGGCGUAAAGGGUGCGUAGGCGGCCUGCUAAGUCUGGAGUGAAAGGUACCGGCUAAACCGGUACAGGCUCUGGAAACU